rnacentral:rRNA from 1 species
GACAGAGGGGGCAAGCGUUGCUCGGAAUUACUGGGCGUAAAGGGCGCGUAGGCGGGAUGGCAAGUCGGUCGUGAAAUCCCUCGGCUCAACCGAGGAACGUCGAUCGAUACUGCUGUUCUUGAGGAUUGCAGAGGAGACUGGCAUUCCCGGUGUAGCGGUGAAAUGUGUAGAGAUCGGGAGGAACACCGGUGGCGAAGGCGGGUCUCUGGGCAAUUCCUGACGCUGAGGCGCGAAAGCGUGGGGAGCAAACGGG